rnacentral:rRNA from 1 species
GAUGAACGCUGGCGGCGUGCCUAAUACAUGCCAGUCGAGCGAACGGACGAGAAGCUUGCUUCUCUGAUGUUAGCGGCGGACGGGAGAGUAACACAUGGAUAACCUACCUAUAAGACUUGGAUAACUUCGGGAAACCGGAGCUAAUACCGGAUGAUAUUUUGAACCGCAUGGUUCAAAAGUGAAAGACGGUCUUGCUGUCACUUAUAGAUGGAUCCGCGCUGCAUUAGCUAGUUGGUAAGGUAACGGCUUACCAAGGCAACAAUGGAUAUCCGACCUGAGAGGGUGGUCGGCCACCCGGGAACUGAGACACGGCACCGACUCCUAAGGGAGGCAGCAGUAGGGAAUCUUACGCAAUGGGGGAAAGCCUGACGGAGCAACGCCGGGGGAGUGAUGACGGUCUUCUGAUCGUAAAACUCUGUUAUUAGGGAAGAACAUAUGUUUAAGUAACUGUGCACAUCUUGACGGUACCUAAGCAGAAAGCCACGGCUAACUACGUG